GCACUACUGAGCAGUCUCAGAAUAGGAUGAAACGGCCGUCUAGUGC
rnacentral:hammerhead_ribozyme from 1 species